rnacentral:rRNA from 1 species
AACGAACGCUGGCGGCAGGCUUAACACAUGCAAGUCGAGCGCCCCGCAAGGGGAGCGGCAGACGGGUAAGUAACGCGUGGGAACAUACCCUUUGGUUCGGAAUAACUCAGGGAAACUUGAGCUAAUACCGGAUACGUCCGUAAGGAGAAAGAUUUAUCGCCAAAGGAUUGGCCCGCGUCCGAUUAGCUAGUUGGUGAGGUAACGGCUCACCAAGGCUACGAUCGGUAGCUGGUCUGAGAGGAUGAUCAGCCACAUUGGGACUGAGACACGGCCCAAACUCCUACGGGAGGCAGCAGUGGGGAAUAUUGGUCAAUGGGCGCAAGCCUGAACCAGCCAUGCCGCGUGCAGGAAGACGGUCCUAUGGAUUGUAAACUGCUUUUAUACAGGAAGAAACCCUCCCACGUGUGGGAGCUUGACGGUACUGUAGGAAUAAGGAUCGGCUAACUCCGUGCCAGCAGCCGCGGUAAUGUGACUACUG